rnacentral:rRNA from 1 species
AGAGUUUGAUCAUGGCUCAGAUUGAACGCUGGCGGCAGGCUUAACACAUGCAAGUCGAACGGUAACAUAAAGAAGCUUGCUUCUUUGAUGACGAGUGGCGGACGGGUGAGUAAUGCUUGGGAAUCUAGCUUAUGGAGGGGGAUAACUACGGGAAACUGUAGCUAAUACCGCGUAAUAUCGAAAGAUUAAAGUGUGGGACCUUCGGGCCACAUGCCAUAGGAUGAGCCCAAGUGGGAUUAGGUAGUUGGUGAGGUAAAGGCUCACCAAGCCGACGAUCUCUAGCUGGUCUGAGAGGAUGACCAGCCACACUGGGACUGAGACACGGCCCAGACUCCUACGGGAGGCAGCAGUGGGGAAUAUUGCGCAAUGGGGGCAACCCUGACGCAGCCAUGCCGCGUGAAUGAAGAAGGCCUUCGGGUUGUAAAGUUCUUUCGGUAGCGAGGAAGGCAUUUAGUUUAAUAGACUGAGUGAUUGACGUUAACUACAGAAGAAGCACCGGCUAACUCCGUGCCAGCAGCCGCGGUAAUACGGAGGGUGCGAGCGUUGUCCGGAAUCAUUGGGCGUAAAGAGUUCGUAGGUGGCCUGUUAAGUCUGGUGUUAAAUGCAGAUGCUCAACAUCUGUUCGGCACUGGAUACUGGCAAGCUUGAAUGCGGUAGAGGUAAAGGGAAUUCCUGGUGUAGCGGUGAAAUGCGUAGAUAUCAGGAGGAACAUCGGUGGCGUAAGCGCUUUACUGGGCCGUAAUUGACACUGAGGAACGAAAGCCAGGGUAGCAAAUGGGAUUAGAUACCCCAGUAGUCCUGGCCGUAAACGAUGGAUACUAGGUGUUGCGGGUAUCGACCCCUGCAGUGCCGAAGCAAACGCGAUAAGUAUCCCGCCUGGGGAGUACGCACGCAAGUGUGAAACUCAAAGGAAUUGACGGGGACCCGCACAAGCGGUGGAACAUGUGGUUUAAUUCGAAGCAACGCGAAAAACCUUACCAGGGCUUGACAUCUAACAAACACUUGUGAAAGCGAGUGGUGCUCUUCGGAGAAUGUUAAGACAGGUGGUGCACGGUUGUCGUCAGCUCGUGUCGUGAGAUGUUGGGUUAAGUCCCGCAACGAGCGCAACCCUCGUCGUUAGUUGGAUGUGUCGGUACACUUACACAUUCCUCUCUAGCGAGACUGCCGGUGAUAAACCGGAGGAAGGUGGGGACGACGUCAAAUCAUCAUGCCCCUUAUGCUCUGGGCUACACACGUGUUACAAUGGCUGGUACAACGAGCCGCCAACUCGUGAGAGUGAGCAAAUCUCUAAAAACCAGUCUCAGUUCGGAUUGCACUCUGCAACUCGAGUGCAUGAAGUCGGAAUCGCUAGUAAACGCAGAUCAGCACGCUGCGUUGAAUACGUUCCCGGGUCUUGUACACACCGCCCGUCACACCAUGGAAGUCGACCACGCCCGAAGUACGUGAGCUAACCGUAAGGGAGCAGCGUCCUAAGGCAGGGUUGGUGACUAGGGUGAAGUCGUAACAAGGUAGCCGUACCGGAAGGUGUGGCUG